rnacentral:rRNA from 1 species
AGUGAACGCUGGCGGUAGGCCUAACACAUGCAAGUCGAACGGCAGCACAGGAGAGCUUGCUCUCUGGGUGGCGAGUGGCGGACGGGUGAGGAAUACAUCGGAAUCUACUCUGUCGUGGGGGAUAACGUAGGGAAACUUACGCUAAUACCGCAUACGACCUACGGGUGAAAGCAGGGGACCUUCGGGCCUUGCGCGAUUGAAUGAGCCGAUGUCGGAUUAGCUAGUUGGCGGGGUAAAGGCCCACCAAGGAGACGAUCCGUAGCUGGUCUGAGAGGAUGAUCAGCCACACUGGAACUGAGACACGGUCCAGACUCCUACGGGAGGCAGCAGUGGGGAAUAUUGGACAAUGGGCGCAAGCCUGAUCCAGCCAUACCGCGUGGGUGAAGAAGGCCUUCGGGUUGUAAAGCCCUUUUGUUGGAAAAGAAAUCCAGCUGGCUAAUACCCGGUUGGGAUGACGGUACCCAAAGAAUAAGCACCGGCUAACUUCGUGCCAGCAGCCGCGGUAA